GACGAACGCUGGCGGCGUGCUUAACACAUGCAAGUCGAACGAAGUGGCGAACGGGUGAGUAACGCGUAAUCAACCUGCCCUUCAGGGGGGAACAACAGUUGGAAACGACUGCUAAUACCGCAUACUGUAGGAGGUGAUUGCGUCUGAUUAGCUAGUUGGAGUGGUAACGGCCCACCAAGGCGAUGAUCAUUAGGCGGUCUGCGAGGGGGAACGGCCACAUUGGUACGUGGACAAGGCCCAGACUCCUACGGGAGGCAGCAGGGGGGAAUCUGCCGAAAUGGACGAAAGUCUGACGGAGCAACGCCGCGUGAGUGAUGAAGGCCUUCGGGUUGUAAAGCUCUGUUAAUCGGGACGCGGUACCGGAAUAGAAAGCCACGGCUAACUACGUGCCAGCAGCCGCGGUAAUAC
rnacentral:rRNA from 1 species